rnacentral:rRNA from 1 species
UGGGGAAUCUUGCGCAAUGGGCGAAAGCCUGACGCAGCGACGCCGCGUGGGUGAUGAAGGCCUUCGGGUUGUAAAGCCCUGUGGAGAGGGACGAAUAAGUUCGACCUAAUACGUCGGGCGAUGACGGUACCUCUUUAGCAAGCACCGGCUAACUACGUGCCAGCAGCCGCGGUAAUACGUAGGGUGCGAGCGUUAAUCGGAAUUACUGGGCGUAAAGCGUGCGCAGGCGGUUUUGUAAGACAGAUGUGAAAUCCCCGGGCUUAACCUGGGAACUGCGUUUGUGACUGCAAGGCUGGAGUACGGCAGAGGGGGGUGGAAUUCCACGUGUAGCAGUGAAAUGCGUAGAGAUGUGGAGGAACACCGAUGGCGAAGGCAGCCCCCUGGGCCUGUACUGACGCUCAUGCACGAAAGCGUGGGGAGCAAACA